rnacentral:rRNA from 1 species
AUUGAACGCUGGCGGAAUGCUUUACACAUGCAAGUCGAGCGGCAGCGCGGUCUUCGGACUGGCGGCGAGCGGCGAACGGGUGAGUAAUACAUCGGAACAUGCCCAGUCGUGGGGGAUAACACUUCGAAAGAAGUGCUAAUACCGCAUACGUCCUGAGGGAGAAAGCGGGGGAUCGCAAGACCUCGCGCGAUUGGAGUGGCCGAUGUCAGAUUAGCUAGUUGGUGGGGUAAAGGCCUACCAAGGCAACGAUCUGUAGCUGGUCUGAGAGGAUGAUCAGCCACACUGGGACUGAGACACGGCCCAGACCCCUACGGGAGGCAGCAGUGGGGAAUUUUGGACAAUGGGGGCAACCCUGAUCCAGCCAUUCCGCGUGAGUGAAGAAGGCCUUCGGGUCGUAAAGCUCUUUCGGCAGGAACGAAACGGCGAGCUCUAACAUAGCUCGCUAAUGACGGUACCUGAAGAAGAAGCACCGGCUAACUACGUGCCAGCCGCCGCCGUAACAC